rnacentral:rRNA from 1 species
CAGGCUGCAACCCGCCUGNACCGAAGUUGGAAUUGCUAGUAAUCGUGGAUCAGCAUGCCACGGUGAAUACGUUCCCGGGUCUUGUACACACCGCCCGUCACACCAUGGGAGUCGGUAACACCCGAAGUCAGUAGUCUAACCGCAAGGAGGACGCUGCCGAAGGUGGGAUUGACGACUGGGGUGAAGUCGUAACAAGGUACC